rnacentral:rRNA from 1 species
AGUGAACGCUGGCGGUAGGCCUAACACAUGCAAGUCGAACGGCAGCACAGUAAGAGCUUGCUCUUACGGGUGGCGAGUGGCGGACGGGUGAGGAAUACAUCGGAAUCUACUUUUUCGUGGGGGACAACGUAGGGAAACUUACGCUAAUACCGCAUACGACCUACGGGUGAAAGCAGGGGAUCUUCGGACCUUGCGCGAUUGAAUGAGCCGAUGUCGGAUUAGCUAGUUGGCGGGGUAAAGGCCCACCAAGGCGACGAUCCGUAGCUGGUCUGAGAGGAUGAUCAGCCACACUGGAACUGAGACACGGUCCAGACUCCUACGGGAGGCAGCAGUGGGGAAUAUUGGACAAAGGGCGCAAGCCUGAUCCAGCCAUACCGCGUGGGUGAAGAAGGCCUUCGGGUUGUAAAGCCCUUUUGUUGGGAAAGAAAAGCAGCAGGUUAAUACCCCGCUGUUCUGACGGUACCCAAAGAAUAAGCACCGGCUAACUUCGUG